UACAGAGGGUGCAAGCGUUGUUCGGAAUUAUUGGGCGUAAAGCGCGUGUAGGCGGCUUUGCAAGUCGGGUGUGAAAGCCCUCAGCUCAACUGAGGAAGUGCGCCCGAAACUGCAGAGCUUGAGUGCCGGAGAGGGUGGCGGAAUUCCCCAAGUAGAGGUGAAAUUCGUAGAUAUGGGGAGGAACACCAGUGGCGAAGGCGGCUCACUGGACCGGUACUGACGCUGAUGCGCGAAAGCGUGGGGAGCAAACGGG
rnacentral:rRNA from 1 species